CGGACGGGUGAGUAAUGUCUGGGAAACUGCCUGAUGGAGGGGGAUAACUACUGGAGACGGUAGCUAAUACCGCAUAACGUCGCAAGACCAAAGAGGGGACCUUCGGGCCUCUUGCCAUCGGAUGUGCCCAGAUGGGAUUAGCUAGUAGGUGGGGUAACGGUUCACCUAGGCGACGAUCCCUAGCUGGUCUGAGAGGAUGACCAGCCACACUGGAACUGAGACACGGUCCAG
rnacentral:rRNA from 1 species